GCUUCUCGCUGGAGUGCGCACCGAGCGGCAGUGACUUCGCCGCUGCUGUAGUUCCCCGGCUGGAUGCGGUGACUGGUGCCAGUGCUCAGGCGCCCGCUGCCCUUGACCUCCCGCCCCGCGAGCCCUAACUCAGCGCAGGAGGACCGGCUGCCGCCGCCGCCGCCGCCAGGAGGUAGAUUGGGAAGUGGAGCUGGCCGUGGUCAUUGGAAAGAAAGGCAAGCACAUCAAGGUGAAGUGGAAAAGGUGUUGGUGUCACCCAUGAUCUAUCCUCCUGUAUGGCCAAAUCCCCUGCCCCCAUAGGCCACAGAUGCCAUGGCCCACGUGGCCGGCUUCACUGUGGCUCAUGACGUGAGUGCUCGUGACUGGCUAACAAGAUGCAAUGGGAAACAGUGGCUGCUGGGAAAAACCUUCGACACCUUCUGCCCUCUGGGCCCUGCCUUGGUGACCAAGGACAGUGUAGCAGAUCCACACAACUUAAAGAUCUGCUGUCGAGUGAAUGGGGAAGUGGUCCAGAGCAGCAACACCAACCAGAUGGUAUUCAAGACAGAGGACCUGAUAGCCUGGGUGUCCCAGUUUGUUACCUUUUACCCAGGGGAUGUCAUCCUGACUGGGACCCCCCCACCUCCACCCAGGUGUCGGUGUAUUCAGGAAACCUCCUGUCUUUCUCAAGGUCUCUGAAGGUCCAGACAGCACUGAUGGCGAGCUUUGGGUCCGCACACUCUGGAAAGAAGAGAGAAGUGAAGGCUCUAGGGGGCAGCAGCCACCAGCAAACACCACUGCCUGCAGGAGCCUGGGCUGACUGGUUGGGACUCACCGAAGAUCCCUUCUUCCUGGGCGGUGGCCUGCAGGAACUGGAACAGCUGCUCUGUGUAGCCCAACUCUGCAGAAGAGAGAAGACCUAGACCUGGCACCCAGCACAGACACAGCCUGCCUCGAGGACUGCAAGGGAACAAGGGCCUCACCAGUAUCGGGCAGCUGGCCCUGGCGGAGGAAGGCGGCAGCCUGUGCAAAGGCCUUGAGCAGCGGGCUGAGCAGGCGGCAGAGGAAAAGAAAGAAAUCUGGGCAGUGUGACUGCUGGCUGAGCUGGAGGGGACAGGCCGGGGUGAGUGCAGCUCCCCACCGCCUCCCUACCACCUCCCUCCAGGGGCAGCUUUUUGAAACACACCCUGAAGUACCGGCCGUCAGCCUCUCCGAAGUCAUCACUGUCACUAUCAGUAAAGUCCCCACUCGGUUUCCACAGCA
rnacentral:lncRNA from 1 species